CUAUGGGGUCUCCAUGGGACUCUAUGGGGCUCUAUGGAGGUCUAUGGGGCUCUAUGGGGUAUCUAUGGGCGGCUAUGGGGGUCUAUGGGGGUCUAUGGGGUUCAAAGAAGUCUCUAUGGGGCUCUAUGGGGUCUCUAUGGGGGCUCUAUGGGGGCUCUAUGGGGGUCUAUGGGGGCUCUAUGCGGGUCUAUGGGGUCUCUAUGUCCCACCACCGCCAAUGGGGCGCCCAUCCCCGGCCCUACAAGUGGGGGGGGGAAAGGGGCAGGGAGAUAUGGGGUCUAUGGGGCUCUAUGGGGCUCUAUGGGGCCUCUAUGGGAGUCUAUGGGGGUCUACGAGGCUCUAUGAGGGCUCUAUGGGGCUCUACAGGGAUCUAUGGGGACUCUAUGGGGGUCUAUGGGGUCCCUAUGGGGGUCUUUGGGGUCCCUAUGGGGAGUCUAUGGGGGUCCAUGGGGUCUCUAUGGGGAGUCUAUGGGGGUCCAUGGGGUCUCUAUGGGGGUCUAUGAGGGUCUAUGGGGGCUCCAUGGCGCUCUAUGGGGGUCUAUGGGGUCUCUAUGGGGCUCUAUGGGGCUCUAUGGGGGCUCUAUGGGGCUCUAUGGGGCUCUAUGAGGUCUCUAUGGGGCUCUAUGGGUCCCUAUGUCCCACCACCGCCAAUGGGGCGCCCAUCCCCGGCCCUACAAGUGGGGG
rnacentral:lncRNA from 1 species